rnacentral:rRNA from 1 species
GAUGAACGCUGACAGAAUGCUUAACACAUGCAAGUCUACUUGAACUUCGGUUUGGGUGGCGGACGGGUGAGUAACGCGUAAAGAACUUGCCUCACAGUUAGGGACAACAUUUGGAAACGAAUGCUAAUACCUGAUAUUAUGAUUUUAGGGCAUCCUAGGAUUAUGAAAGCUAUAUGUGCUGUGAGAGAGCUUUGCGUCCCAUUAGCUAGUUGGAGAGGUAACGGCUCACCAAGGCGAUGAUGGGUAGCCGGCCUGAGAGGGUGAACGGCCACAAGGGGACUGAGACACGGCCCUUACUCCUACGGGAGGCAGAGGUGGGAAAUAUUGGACAAUGGACCAAAAGUCUGAUCCAGCAGUUCUGUGUGCACGAUGACGUUUUUCGGAAUGUAAAGUGCUUUCAGUUGGGAAGAAAAAAAUGACGGUACCAACAGAAGAAGUGACGGCUAAAUACGUG